CUACGUAGGGUGCAAGCGUUAAUCGGAAUUACUGGGCGUAAAGCGUGCGCAGGCGGUUUUGUAAGACAGAGGUGAAAUCCCCGGGCUCAAACCGGGAACUGCCUUUGUGACUGCAAGGCUAGAGGACGGCAGAGGGGGAUGGAAUUCCGCGUGUAGCAGUGAAACGCGUAGAUAUGCGGAGGAACACCGAUGGCGAAGGCAAUCCCCUGGGCCUGUACUGACGCUCAUGCACGAAAGCGUGGGGAGCAAACAGGAUUAGAUACCCUGGUAGUCCACGCCCUAAACGAUGUCAACUGGUUGUUGGGUCUUCAUUGACUCAGUAACGAAGCUAACGCGUGAAGUUGACCGCCUGGGGAGUACGGCCGCAAGGUUGAAACUCAAAUGAAUUGACGGGG
rnacentral:rRNA from 1 species